CCUACGGGUGGCUGCAGUGAGGAAUAUUGGUCAAUGGACGAGAGUCUGAACCAGCCAAGUAGCGUGAAGGAUGACUGCCCUAUGGGUUGUAAACUUCUUUUAUAUGGGAAUAAAAUGUUCCACGUGUGGGAUUUUGUAUGUACCAUAUGAAUAAGGAUCGGCUAACUCCGUGCCAGCAGCCGCGGUAAUACGGAGGAUCCGAUCGUUAUCCGGAUUUUAUGGGUUUAAAGGGAGCGUAGGUGGAUUGUUAAGUCAGUUGUGAAAGUUUUCGGCUCAACCGUAAAAUUGCAGUUGAAACUGGCAGGCUUGAGUCCGGUAGAGGUGUGCGGAAUUCGUGGUGUAGCGGUGAAAUGCUUAGAGAUCACGAAGAACUCCGAUUACGAAGGCAGCUCACUGGACUGCAACUGACGCUGAGGCUCGAAAGUGUGGGUAUCAAACAGGAUUAGAUACCCUUGUAGUC
rnacentral:rRNA from 1 species